CUUGGAUGUCACCUAACUGGCAACAGGUCCUGUCAACACUUCAUGAGAGAGAGUUCCUUCUCUGAGGAAUUACAAACCCAAACAGAAAGGGCAGUAUUUACAUUUUGGACAGUGCAACAUGCAAGGACAACGCUGACUUCAAAAGGAAGGAGGAGACAAUUAUUACCAUUAUUUACUACUUGGAUCAUACCCCAGGUGUGUAUGUUUGCCUGCAAGGCAAACAAGACAGAUGUCAGAGCUACAGAGUUGACUGGACCAGACUUCCCACCACUGAGGAAACAGAAAGAAUGGAGACAGUGAUAAGACUGACAUUGUGAAGAUCUCUGCAGUGAUUAUAAAAACAUGCAUAUAAAGCUAAACAAAAUUUUAACAAACUAGCCUUGUUCCACAGCACUCUUUCUUUCCUGUUUAGAUACGGAAGCAAAUACCUGUUGUGUUCCAAAGGGAACGAGUGGUAGUCGCUUGUGGUGGUAGGACUUCUACUUCCAUGCUCCUACCCUACAAUUCAGAACUCCAGCUUUUCCUAGUGAUAUAACUGUGAUAGAGCUGUGCAAAUUGUGGUUAGACUCAAAUACCCAAGUAUCCACUUCUCUGUUCUUUAGAGGUGUCAAAAUUGGAUAUCACAUUUGACAAUUCAAUAAGAUUUUUUAAAAUGUAUUUCGCUAGUGAACAGAGUGUAUGGUAGAAAGCAGUACACUGUUUCUUUAUGUGAUACCUGACCUUGGAAGCAUCUGUAGGUGGCCUACAAGAGCAAUUUAUGUCAUCUUGCUCUCUGAUCCAUUCAGCCUCAAAUGGAGAGAAGAGGCACAGAUCCCAGCUAUCCUUACUCUCCCUUUCUCCAGAAACUGCCAAACCAUUCGAAGACAGCCUAGAGCUCUGGAAAACAGUGGGUGGGUUUUGGCUUACAGCUCACACCAAAUCAACCAGACCCUAUGAUCUACUCAGAAAACUUAAGCUUAAAAAAUGAAGGGAAAAGAGCUUUGGGUGAAGACUUAGUUGUGCUGUAAAAAGUGUACAUGUAAUUCAAGCACCCACUUGCUUUAAUGUGGUCAAUGCAGCACUAAAGCAUUCUUCUAACAUACACAAUAAAGAAACAGCUCCAAAGGACUUUCACAUUUAAUGUGUCUUUACUUAAGGGAAUGUAAAUCUUGAAAAGAGGAAAAUAUGCCCUAUUUUGCCACCCAGACAAGCAUAUGCCACUUCUCAGUGUAAUUACUUAUACUCAUGUUCAUUUUACACAGGUGACAUUACCACAAGAUUAAUGAUGAUAACAGAAAGUUUUAACAGUCUACCUUCACUAUGAAAGGAUACACGAAACAACACUGAUCAUACAUUUCUAAAUAAAACUAAAAGAGAGUACAUCUCACCCACAGUUUCACAUAGCACAUGAUCAAAAAAAAACACCUUAGGUUUGUGUUUUGUUUGGGGCUUUUUUGUGUAUUAUUGGUCAGUUUUGUUUUUGUUUUUUGUUUUUAAAGUGCCUCUAAUAGUGUAAUAUUUUUACCACCACAUUUUUUCCUUCUUUUGUGGCUACUUAAAAAGCAGUACUUGGGUGUGCUAUCUCUUCUUUCUUUGUUUCAUACCUUACAAUCUUGUUUACAAGAAGAAUUCCCAACAAAAAUAAAAAGUUUAUUGGGCUGUAUUGUAAAAAUCUUGCAAUAAAAUGUCCUUGCCGGGGGCUAAACAUUAUGCCUGGAUUUUAUUUACAAGAUACCAGUUCAGCCUCUUCAAAAUCAGACCAGUGAAUACACAACAGCUGAUGGUCAUUAAUGAUUAAUUAUUUUGUCUUUAGUACCUGGACAACAUCUUGAAUUAAACUAAUUAUUCUGUGCUAGUGAUCUAGAAAAUGACUGACUUUGUAGCAGCUUCAUGAAAUUGGAAAAGUUUCAAAAGCCAAUGUCUGUUUUUG